ACUCCUACGGGAGGCAGCAGUGGGGAAUAUUGGACAAUGGGCGAAAGCCUGAUCCAGCCAUGCCGCGUGUGUGAAGAAGGUCUUCGGAUUGUAAAGCACUUUAAGUUGGGAGGAAGGGCAGUUGCCUAAUACGUGAUUGUUUUGACGUUACCGACAGAAUAAGCACCGGCUAACUCUGUGCCAGCAGCCGCGGUAAUACAGAGGGUGCAAGCGUUAAUCGGAAUUACUGGGCGUAAAGCGCGCGUAGGUGGUUUGUUAAGUUGGAUGUGAAAUCCCCGGGGCUCAACCUGGGAACUGCAUUCAAAACUGACUGACUAGAGUAUGGUAGAGGGUGGUGGAAUUUCCUGUGUAGCGGUGAAAUGCGUAGAUAUAGGAAGGAACACCAGUGGCGAAGGCGACCACCUGGACUGAUACUGACACUGAGGUGCGAAAGCGUGGGGAGCAAACAGGAUUAGAUACCCU
rnacentral:rRNA from 1 species